UCUUCAUUUGGACAUAUAAUUGUUUUUAGAACAAUCGUUGUCUUAUCUCAAAAGAAGAAAACCCACCGAAUACAAUUAAGAACUUCGGUCGCCCACCAAAAAAAAUUAAGAACAUCGGUCGAUCAAAUCAUCAAUGGCGAAAUUCUCAUAUAAUUCAGCGAUUUUGUCUCCGGUUAUACUCUGUAGAUCUUCGCCUAGGAUUGUCAAGAAUCUGGAUCUUCUACGGGUAAUUAUUGUCAAUUUUAUAUCUAAAUUUUGUUUUCACAGUCUCGCAGUUGUAGUUUUUUUUUUCUUCAUCCUCUUCGACGGUGCUUGUAGCACCCAUUCCCGGACCCAUGGUCUAUCCUCAGCCUUUUGGUCUGGUAUCCUCAGUUAUUUGGGUUGAGAAUCUAGAAUAUUAUUGAAUUCACAGCGUUUUGCGAAUUUGAGAUUCCGGUUUAAAUUAGGGUUUUAGACAUUCAUCAGCUUUGAUUUUAGGGAUUUAUGUUGUUCUUAAGGUAGAAGUUUCCCGGUAUGAUUGAUACUGUGAUUAUAAAUUCUACAAAUUAGGGAUCAUAUGUUUUACACUUAAAGCUUUGCUCUUUGGAUUUGGACAUUUGGUGUUUGGAUUUCACUAAAAUAUGAUAUCUGAAAGCUUUCCUUGUUGGGGCUUUUGAUGUUUUUACUGUUUUGUUAAUGUAGAAUUUUUACAAAUUUAUGUUCCACUGUUGUGGCGAUCUCGGGAAUUAAGUGAAUUAUGAUUCUUUUUCCAAGGCAUUUUCUCGCUUCUUCACUUUCCAUCAUAUGGCCAAGGUCCUGAUCCGAGUUAUGGCCUUGGUUUUUAGGUUCAAUUAGAAGAGUUGUGAAAGAGUAAAGGAAUUAUUAAGUAAACUAUUCAUUCACUUCGCCAAUAUCAAUCAUAUACAGUAGUAAAUCUCGGAGUGCAAUAAUUGGCAAUAAUUGGUAUCCCAACAUUAAUCAACACUCCAACGGAUCGACUCCAGGAUCCGCGUCUCGGACUGUAUUUGAAGCCCAAGAUCCGCGUGGUAGCCCGCCCCAAUAGCAUACGGUCCGCGUGUUUAUCCGAACAAAAUGCCCAGGAUCCGCGUUUUUUUAUAUAUUUAAAUUGUCGAGUUUAACCUUGGACGCAAUCUUUUAUUUAUUCGUAGAAUGAAAAAAUCCUAAUGGCAUUCCCUUGUAAUUUUUUACACUUUUUAAGGUUAUUUUUCAGGGAAUGCUUCCCAAUUAAUAGUAUA